rnacentral:rRNA from 1 species
CGUACUUGUGUGUUCGCGCGAUGAAGGGACGCAGGAAGAUAGGCAAGCCGGGCGCUGGUUGUCCCGGUGCAAGCGUGUAGGGAUGAGAAGUUGGCAAAUCCGCUUCUCUCUAUCCUGAGACGCGAGUCCGUGACCGAAAGGUCUGAAGUUGUUGAGUCUAUGCUGCCUAGAAAAGCUUCUAAGUAUAGGACACGCAAACCGUACCGGAAACC